GAGAAAGCAAAAAAAAAAAAUAAAAUUAAAAAAAAAAAGGCUCUUCCGACGCUGCCAACUGCCUAAAAUUAACCGAACUCAUUUCAAAGGGUUUAAAUUCGGCUGCUGCAGCGGAGGACAGUGCUGUAGAGAAGAAAAAAGGGUCAAGCAGGUUCACAACAACAUGAAGACCCAUCACCAUGCCCCGAGUCGUCCAGGGGAGAAAGCUCCUCCAUUUCUUUACUCAUCCUGAGCUGAAGACUGUCCUGAAGGAAAAUGCUAAAUCUGAAUGCAGAUUGUUUUGUGCUGGUCCAGGGUCUCUUGGGGUCAUGGUUCUGGGAACAGCCUCCUCUACUUGGCUGAGUAUGUCAUUCAGGACUGCAGAAGAGGCUCUGUCUGAGGGUGAUGGGGGCUGGGAGACCGCAGAAGAUCCUGGACUGCAACUGAUGAUUGAACAAGCUGCUUGCAGAUGCCUUCUCUGGCUCUGACGAACUAAAAGAGAAUGAGCAAUUUUUAAAGUGGUUUUCAACUGGUGGGCUUCAACCAAAGAUUGGCUUGUACGUCUGUUCUGAUAAAAAAAAAAAAAUUGAAAAAUAACAGAAAUAAAUUAAAUUGAUAUGCA